UUGGUCAAUGGACGCAAGUCUGAACCAGCCAUGCCGCAUGAAGGAUGAAGGUCCUCUGGAUUGUAAACUUCUUUUAUCUGGGACGAAAACGGGAUUUUUAUCUCAAUUGACGGUACCAGAGGAAUAAGCACCGGCUAACUCCGUGCCAGCAGCCGCGGUAAUACGGAGGGUGCGAGCGUUAUCCAGAUUUACUGGGUUUAAAGGGUGCGUAGGUGGGCUUAUAAGUCAGUGGUGAAAUCUCCGAGCUUAACUUGGAAACUGCCGUUGAUACUAUAGGUCUUGAAUUAUCUGGAGGUAAGCGGAAUAUGUCAUGUAGCGGUGAAAUGCUUAGAUAUAACAUAGAACACCAAUUGCGAAGGCAGCUUACUACAUAUAAAUUGACGCUGAGGCACGGAAGCGUGGGGAUCAAACA
rnacentral:rRNA from 1 species